rnacentral:tRNA from 1 species
GCCUCUGUGGUGGAACCGGUAGACACGGCAGCUUCAAAAGUUGCUAUCAUCAGGGUAUGGGAGUUCAAGUCUCCCCGGAGGUA